AAUUUUUCCCCUUUCCCUGACAGCUCUUCUUUCUUUGUAAGGAAAAGAUAGUUUCAUGCCCACAAUUUGCCAGACUGACUGUACAAAGCAGGGAAACCCUCUCCUAAUCCAGACUAAAUCGUGUUAGAUUUAACAGCAUUGACAACGACUGAUUUUCCAUGCUUCCCUUCAAUUUCUGACAGUGCAAAUGGCAAUGAAAAAUAUCCCAAAAAGUCCUUUUCUCUUUUUCUGUUUCAGAGGUGGAUGAGUGAAUGAGCUGAACUGUGUGGCAUUACCCUGAUACCUGUGAGUUGUGAGCCUCUCCAGGAAGUUUGGCACUGGAUUUUUCAAGGAAAAAAAAAGAUUUUUAAACUGUGGAUGCUGCUGUAGUCAUCUAGAAAAAAAAAAAAAUCAGGCAUAUAAACACACACUUCCCAAGGAGAGCUAAACAUUAUCCAAGGAGAUGCCAUAACACAGGCAAUAACUGAGGGAAGCAAAGCAUUAGGCUUUUAGGGAAGAUAACUGAAUUUAUUGAGCUUUCCUGACGUGCUGGUGCCUCCUGUGUUACCUUGUGCCUCUGAAAGGGAUUUCACAGAGAGGCAUAUCUGAUCGAUGAUGUGGCCCUGGAGUCUCACUGCACCAAAGCUCCACACUUCCCAUCAAAGUUUUCCAGCAAAAAGGGGGGAGACCACAGGACACAGCACCAGACACGCAGAUGCAAUUGGUAAAACUGGAGAUGUUCUGCUUUUACCAUGUAUCCAUGCUCAGGUUGAUCCAAGGCUUUUUGUUACUGUGAAUAUCAAGGAUGACUAAAAAAUAUAAGCCUGUAAUAAAGUCCAAGAUGAAAUUCA